GGGGAUGACCGGUUUUGACAGCGUGUAGAGGUGGUGUGUAAGCAUGCAGAGCAAUGAUGGCUACGCUCUUUAAUCUGGGACAUCGAAUCUUUAAAUGGCGAAAACAACUACGCUCUUGCUGCUUAAUCGAAGUACAGUAGAUUAGCUUAAUCUCCGCAACAGUUGCAGAGACAAGACAUCGCCCGAUUGUCGUCGUCCCGAGACUAAUCGACAAGGCGGUGCAGGUAAAUCGGGAAUAGGGCUCGGAAAGCCUCGCGAUGAGCCCGAAAUUUUAGAGGAUAAGGACGCGAUUGGCAGUCCUCGGCCUGUUGAGUCACGAAAACCAAGUGAAGACUAAGCAUGUAGAAAGCUCAUUAGUUCCGCGUUUGGACGAGGGUUCAAGUCCCUCCAUCUCCACCA
rnacentral:tmRNA from 1 species